UUGCUGGUGGAGGGCUACACUAUUUGUAACAUCAGAUGACAGAUGACGUGGAGUUAUAAGUUAAACGAAUAGCUUAAAGCUAAGACAUACGUAUUUUGAUAACUUAUAUGGAAAUUCGCUCAGUUGUUUUAAACCUCUGACUUCAGUAUAAAUAUGAUGCUAUAUUUUAGCAACACGUUAAGAAUUUUAAGCGUUGAUAGCACGAAGACAGCAAGAACUACUUUUCGGCCAUAUUGUCAUUACAACUUCCGCUCAGACGUAAGAAAAUGGUAGAAAAACAUUUGAGUUGAGUGUCAUUUGAAUUUCGAUACUGUUUUGUAAUAUGCUUGACGAAAUGAACAAAAGUAUAUGAUACCGUUAGCAGGGAAAUUCAUUUCCUUCAUAGUUGUAGUGUGAUAUUGCAGACUCAAGAUUAUUUUGAACUGUCUUGACAAUUUUCUUGUCAGACGGCUACAACAGUGACACUAGUGUUUCGGUGUUCAUGAGGACCAUCAAAAUAAUAUAUUGAAAAUCUUUUUAAAGACCUCCUUUAUCGUCACAGCUUGAGACAGUGAAGUGGAGAGGUUUCGUUACACAUCACACUUUUUGUUUUUGAUAUUCCAAGGAUAUAAUGAUAGAUUGAAAGAAGAUAUUAUCGUCGAAGUGUUUUAGCAUGGAUGAUGCCAAAAGAUUCGCAAACUCCGACGAAGAAAUUGCACAUUGGAGGAGUCUUUCUCAGAAGUUGAAACAGGACUUAGAGGAAACCAAAGAGGAAUUUGAGGAGUAUCAAAUAAGCAGUAGAGAAUUAGAAUGUGAACUGGAAGCACAGCUCAAACAGAUAGAGAAACGCAACAAAGAACUUGAAGCCAACUGUGGACGGCUUCAAACAGAGGUUGAGUCUCUUAGGGAAAAGCUUGACAAACUGCAAAAUACAAGCCAUAAAAAGGCAGCUGAACUUGAAGAUGAGUUGGCACAAGUUACAGCUUACAAAGAUGAGCUCCAGAAGUACAUCAGAGAAUUGGAGCAAGCCAAUGAUGAUUUAGAAAGAGCAAAAAGGGCAACUGUGGUGUCUUUGGAAGACUUUGAACUACGACUUAAUCAGGCUAUAGAACGAAAUGCAUUUUUGGAGAGUGAGUUAGAUGACAAGGAAACCUUGCUAGAAACAGUGCAACGCUUGAAGGAUGAAGCUAGAGAUCUUAAGCAUGAGAUUGAUGUCAAACAGCGAGUCACUAGUAAGCCAACAGAUACCCUGGGUGACCGAGUGGAUGGCACAAGGAUGAGUGAUAGUGGCUAUGAUGGGGCACAGCAGUUAGCAGCAACACCAACAACACCCACAACACCAACAGCCAAUAGAGGUAUACCUGCUAGUAAUGGAACCACCCCACUAACACCAUCAGCACGAAUAUCUGCACUCAACAUAGUUGGUGACCUUUUACGUAAAGUUGGGGCCUUAGAAGCUAAGCUUGCCACUUGCCGAAAUUUUGUUAAAGACCAGCCCAGAGGAGGCAAAGUCAGCGGCAAUAGUCCACUAAACUCUCCAAGGUGACCAUGACUCAAGGUGCAGUUUCUCCACACCUCUUCCACAGGUCUGAGCAUUAUAGGGGAUCUAGGAGCAACAGUCAUCUGCAUUUAUUAAGAGAACUAAGCGCCUGAACCGGGGAGCAUCUGUACCAUCUGCUCAAGGAGUUAAGAUUUCAGUUUAGGUCCUGAACAUGGUUGGCAACAUAUGGCAAGACAUUAUUUUGUAGAUCAUGAAGAUACAUCUGAGAAAACUGGCAUAUUUCAACAUUUGGUGCUUUUAUAAAAUUUGUUCUUCUAUUUUGUUUUUUAGCUGGAACUUUUCUUGGUUUAUGACAACUAGUCACCUACAAGUCUUGGUGCAUUUACUGAUUCUAAAGACUGACACAGAUCAAGUUGAACAUGUCAAACAGAUGCCAGCUGUCAUGGAUAUUGAUUCAUAAUGGAAAAGGACAGUUAUAAAAAGUUUUUUUUUUGUGCAUUUCAUUGUGAAAUAUGUGCCAUCUACAUCCCUCUGGUGUUCAAGCUUUGGAUUGGUGAACGUCAGAAAUGUGGGAGUUGAUGCUUUUAAUGCAGUGCACUAUGCUUUACAAGCUGGUGUUGUACUGGCAGAUGUUUAGAGCUGUGGAAUCUUUUCAACACACUGCAUGUCUACAAAGAUAGAUGUGAGGCACAUCAUUCUAAUGAAACUUUUUCCCUUUGGUGUAAAAGCCUGGAGUUGUGACUUGAAAAAUAUUUUAUUGAUUAGCUGGCUUGGAAUCUUUGUUUUUCCAUGACAAAGUUGACCAGACAGAAUAUAUUGUGCACUGGUUAAUCCUUGAGGUUUGUCUGCACAUCAUGUAGUCGUCACAUUUACAAUUUUGAUUUUUUUUUUAAGUGCCAGGUGCUUCAAGUAUUCAGGGUUUUAUACAUUUGUUGUAGCUUAGUGUAUCUGAGUUUGAUGAUUAGUUGUAAUCUGUUGGAAGACAUCAUCAGGUAUUCCACAUAUUAUCUUUAAUCUGUAGUUAAAGAAAAAAAUCAAAAUUUUAUUAAUACUCUGAAAACUAUGCACUGUAAAAUAAUUUUAAAGCAAGGUCGAGUGUAAUGGUUGGGACUGAUAUGAAUAAAGAGAAAUAAAUGAACCCUUUCAUACAGUUUUAAUCAGCCGUACAAUGAAAUAAAAAGACAUGACCUUUGAAAUUGUCUAUUUGCCUUCCGUGCAAUACAAGUUAUCUUAGGCAUGGUAUACAGUAGAAGGUCAUAUCAAGGUGAUUGGUGACUGCUAGUUGUGACAAAGUGCAAAGUUUGUAGUUUUACUUCUUAUAUAAAUAUAUUGCAACAGGCAAUGGCUGGUGGUAAUGAAGUUAGGAUAGAAAAUUCCACAUGCUAAGAUUUGUAAACCUGCCAUUUGUGCUAGAUUAGGAUAAGAAUGAACAAUAAAGAAAAGAAUAAAAAAACAGAUUUAGAUUUCCAGUAGUAAACUUUAUAUUCAUGCAUCUCUUUAAAUCUGACAGGUUUGUUGAUUCUGUCUUAAAUUUUUUUUAAUUUGUAGAAACGUUCAAAAACAUGUCAGGGCUUCUGCUAAGGCUAAAUUCAUUGGGGUCCCAGGGACCCCUUCUUCAGAUUUUUAAGGGGUCCCUGUUCUUCGCCCAACUUUGAAUGGGACCCCAUUGACGAAAAUUGAAGGGGUCCUCCGAACUUUUAAUGCGUACUGUACGCAAUAUUUUGCGUAAGCAGAAGCCCUGCAUGUUGAUCCGUGUCUUCAUCUGUUUUUAUGUCUCCUCACUACCUCAUUUAUUACUUGUUGUUUGUCAGUAGGCACGUUCACAAGUGGUAUUUUUCACUUGUUACCAUUAUGAUGUACAACAUUUUGUCAAAUUUGUCAUCUUUGGUGGCAUUCUGUGACUAGCUGAGGUUAGAUGUUUGAGAUGUCUCCCUCUUCUGCUGUACACUAAUUUUUAUUUAUUCUUACAUUUGUAUACUCUAUCAGACAUAUUUUGUGAAAGUUUUAGAUCCAUCUGACAGAAUUGGUCAUAUUCUGUUGUCAUCUUGCGAUUUAAGAAGGAUGAAAGAAAAUGUUUCUCCAUUGAAUUUGUGUGUGUAUGAGUGUGUUUUUAGUUUUAUCCUCACAAAUGCUUUGGGUUAGUGAAGACAAUAAAUUGACUGGUUGAAAGUUACCAGCAUCUUUCUUUCUCCUACACUUCACCUUUAUAGCAAGUGUGUUUCAUAAGACAGAAGUUACAGAAUCUUUUUCUGGUGGCAAAAAAAUAAACACAUGUUUGAAAGAUAAGUGUUACGAAGCAUUUGCAUCUUUUAACAUGCAUAAGUUUUUGUUCCUCCUGCUUUACCACCCCCCCCCCCCUUUUUAAAAAAAAUCUUUAUUCCUACGUGCAGUACUCCUAAACUUAUGGCUUAUUUAUCUAAUACUUAUUUAAUUUCAGGACUAAUCCUUCUAGAAUGACGAAAAACGACAUGAAGAAGUGUCUUACCAGGACUUAUAAACUUAAGAAAGUGUGAAAUUUUACCUGAACAGUUACACUAAAAACAUGUUAUAUUAAUUACAAACCCAGUUUUUGUCUUAUUUGAUCCUCUUGAUGUGGACUAUUUUAAUGAAAACAAUUAUUCAAAGCAAAUCAGAUCCCCCUUUUUACUUGUGUAUACUUUUUUUUUGGUAAUGUAGCCAUUGUUGUUUGUCUGAUUGUAAUGCAGUGUUUGUAACAUAUGUUUAAGAGAGAGCAACAGAUGUGUUUUCUUGAUGUUUCUUUAUUUCCCUUUGUUACCUUGUGUUUGUAAGAUGAAAGAUUCAAAUUGUUAGUUUAAAAUAAAUGUAGUUUUCUUGUUCCUGAAAAGAAAAGACUAGAAUCAUAACAUUUUAGUCAUGAUUUGGUUUUAGAGACCAACCUUUUAAGACAUAGUCUUCAUUUAGAACCAUUAUGGAAUCUGUUCAGGUCUAGUAUUUGUGCCUGUUUUGCUGGUUGCACAUAAGAUUGCAAUUUUCUUUUGUGUUGCUUUUUAAUAAAGAGUGUACAGUAACCAGUUCAUUACAAAUCAGCGGAACAAUUGCCCAUUUGUUACAAACUUUUCUUCACCCUCAAAGGCAUAUUGAGGAAAAAGUGCGAUUGGAAAUAAAGCACAGAUACAUCAUUUUGCUUCCUAACCCUUUUCACUUGUGCUUUACUGAUCAUGCAAGUGAACUUGUGGUCUUUUGAAGAAGCAGAUCAAAUUGAGGACAACAAUGAAAAGUUGAGCUAAGGAGAGUUCUCUGAUGAAACUAGACCAUACAGGGUGCAAAGUGUACAAAUUCAGGCAUAAGUCCCUGUCCAGUGUCAACUGUCAUAGUGAAUAUGCAGUUAUAGUUACACUUGUUGCCUGUGUUGCCUUUUUGGCAACUCUUGGUGUCUCGUUGACACCUCAUGGCUGCCCUUUGAUAUUAAACCAGCUUCAGUUCAUUAUAUUGCAUCAGUUUGAUUAACCUGAGGAUACAGUUAUUGCUCUUUUCCUGUGCGAGUAUGCAUUGUAUUAUUUUCAGUAACAGCACUUUUGUGUAUGUGUGAAUGAAUGAAUAGUGAUCAUUUACAUUGUCUGCUGUACUUUAAUCUUAAAGCCAUCAUUUGAAAAGCAAAGCUUUAAGUUUUUUUAAAAGAUUGGCAAUGUUGUUUGCGAGAUUUCUAUAUCAUUGGGUCUGAUACAUUUUGCAUGUGUAUGUGGACUUUAGAACUUGACAGCUAGUAAGUGUUCUUAAAUUGUCAGCAAACAAUAAGAAUUAUGUGUGGGUGUUUUUUGUGUAUGUGCAAAAUCCUAAAUGAUUGAGUGGACUGCUUCUUGAAAGAGAUUUUUUUUAAACAAACUGUGACAUUUGCUUCUAUUAAUUAUUGUGUAAUUAUAUAAAGGUAGAAUAUUGGAUAAAUAUUGAUCACCCUUGUUUUAAAAGAGAGCAUGAUAAGUGUUUUUGGUGGCUUGAUGUACAUUAGUGAAUAGAGGCAUAAAAAUUCAUUUCUCUUAUUAGGUAAACAUAGAUUUUCAUUUUAGAAGUUGUCAAAUUAGGCUUUAUCUUCAACUCCCCUGCCUUCCGAUAUAAUCACUUUUUCUCUUCCCCAAUCUUUUAUACCUCUUUCACUGUUUGAUUCAUAUAUUUUCACUGUCUUUCUACCUAAACAAAUUCUGUGCUAUAAAAGAGGGAAACUUGUAUCAUUUAUAGUAAUUUUUGUGAUACAUAAUUGUCUAAUUGAUUACAUUUCUUGAUGAAUUAAAAAAUAUGGUUCUAAAAGUAAUACUCAUUAUCUUCCACUGGUACUCUGGAGUUUCAUGGAGAGGCAGAGACAGGAACUGAUGGCUCUUUGUAAGACCCUGGUGACAAGCCAUACAAUGAGAAGGCCUCUGCCACGACCUCAGUCUGGCAUCUGUUGUCUUGCUCAAAUACCAUGUCAUUUUUGAGCAUAGGCUGAGAAUGCUGGCUGUCAGCAGGCAUCCUGGUCGUGGCCAAACUAUUGGUGCCCAUCAUCUUAAAGUUUUUUCGUUUCGGAUCGGUUUUUUUCUAGUCCUUGUCAGCUGCCCUCAUGAAACACCUUUUUUCAUUGUCCAAGUCUGGAAUUGGUAGGUCAGAGUGGGGAGGAAUAUUAUGUUGAUUAGCUGCAUCAAGAAAUGAUCGAAAUCUAAGGAAAUGGUGGUGGGGGAGGCAACUGGUAGCUAAUGUUAUUUGCUUUUUUGGAUCUGAGUCUCAGUGCAUGUUUAUCUUGCCACAGUACUAUCAGAAAGCACAAAACUAAAUACUUUGAAGUUGUACUUAAAGAGAUAAAAGGAUGGAUGGAAAAUUACAUCCCUCAAUAUUUUUUUCUACGUAAAAGUAUUUGACUUGCACAUCCCAGUUCAUAGAUAAUUUCAUGAGCAAAUAAAUCUUGUCCUCAUGUUAACAAACAUUCUGUACUUCCAUGAAUUUUUUUGACUCCUUUUAAAAUAUCAAAUGACACAAAAGAAAAAAAUGGGGGACUAUAGUAUAUAACUACAGUGAUUAUUUUGUGAGGUAGAAAAUGAUUAUGAUCUCCAUUGUAAAUGCAACAUCCUGGUGUAUAAAAGGGUUAAAACAUGUAUGAUCUGUCUCCAUGUAUGCAUAGUUAGCAGCUCUGCCUGUCAAGUCAUUAGAAAUUGUUCUCUUUAUAAUGGGUUUAUUUUUAAUGUUAAAUUCUGUAAUAUAGGCUUUAACAGCUUAGCGAACCAUUAAUGCUAUUUCUGUCAGUUGCUGUUGGAUGUAGUGCAUGUAAUACAUCCUCAUGAGUCCUACACCCAAUGUCCUGCAAGCUAAUUGUUAGCUGCUUUUACAUCUUUGUGCAUGUGCUCUCCACUUAAUUUCAAGUGUCAUUAUUGCUUUUAUUAUAUACAGUUAUUCCUAUGUUUGCUUCUCUGUGUCUUACAUUUGUAAUGGUAGGCUGCUUGUGUUCAUUAAUUUCAGUUUUUAAAUCUGCAUGUUAUAAUGAUUUAGGAUAAGGAUACAUUUUUUUGGGUAGGAUUGUCAGGUAGACAUUUCUGUCUACAACAGAGUGUGAACAUUCAGCAGUCUUGUGUCUGUGACUAUUUGUUUAGAUGACGGUACAAAACUGUUGUUAUCAUCAGGUGAUAUUAGCAUAAUUUUAAGAUAAAUUGUCAAGGAUUUAUUUUCAGUUACUGAGAGUGCUAAAAUAAUAAACCUUAUUUUCUUUUCAAAUUAACAAUUUAAACUGCCAUAAGCCCAAUCUUUCUUGUGUUAAUUGAAAAGAAUUAAAAAUAUUAUAACAGUCAAGGCAGUUGCAGUGUGUGACGCUGUUUAAUAACAUGUUUAGGGAUUACAUUUUUGGACUGCCUGCAGUUUAAGCGGAAGUGGAAACAACUCUUUAAAAGAAGUACUGUGACCGAAACCACAGUUGUUGUUUUUUUGGUGUAUUUGUUUCUUCCAUUCAAUCAUUCCAGACCCAUGAACAAGGUCAACCAGUCUUUCAGAAACCUAAAAAGAAAAAUCUUCCAAAAUGUAUCAACACUAAAUGCAAGUUUUAGGAAAGUAAUAACCAAAUGUUGAAAUUUUAAAUCUGGAGAAUUCAGUGUUCAUUGAUUUUUUUAUAAAAGUAGCUUAUACAGUUUUCAUUGUAUCAUAUUUCCUUCUUGUCCUAUUCCCAGCUAUAAAUGUUUAAAAUUUCUUCCAUCGUUGGGAAAAAGCUCUUUGCAAAAUGAAAGAAAAAAAAAACAGUUUAAGGAAUCAUAACAGGGUGUAACUGCCUGUUGAAAUAAUGUUAAGUAGUUGAUACAUUUUAUGUUUUGUAACAUUUCCUUGAUAGAUUUUUAUAAAUUACAUACCAUGCAUCUGGAUCUGGAGAGAUCAAAAGAAGUGAAUAAACCACAUUACAAUAAAAUGUCAAAAUUUGUAUUUCUUUGUAGAUACUUCCUAAGGUGAGGCCGAAAUAAUGUCCUUUGAGUUUGUCUCAUGUUGUACAGUAGCAAAACCAACUUUAUGCUCCAUGCACUCAUAGCAGUUAAAUUAUUUCCUGUUAUAUAGUUUUGUUUUUGAGCUAUUUUGUAAAUUUUCAAAAAUUGUAUAUAAACAAAAGGGAUUGAUAUCUCUGCCAUUUAUUGUACCAUCAUUAAGCAUGAAAAUCUUAAAAUAAAAAUUACCAUUCGUU